AGUCACCAGCGAGAUUCGAACUCGGGACCCCUGGUUUACAAGACCAGUGCUCUAACCUCUGAGCUAUGGGGGC